GACGGAGGAUGCAAGCGUUAUCCGGAAUGAUUGGGCGUAAAGCGUCCGCAGGUGGCAGUUCAAGUCUGCUGUCAAAGACCGGGGCUUAACUUCGGAAAGGCAGUGGAAACUGAACAGCUAGAGUAUGGUAGGGGCAGAGGGAAUUCCUGGUGUAGCGGUGAAAUGCGUAGAUAUCGAGAGGAACACCUGCGGCGAAGGCGGGUUGCUGGGCUGACACUGACGCUGAAGCGCGAAAGCUAGGGGAGCGAACGGG
rnacentral:rRNA from 1 species